rnacentral:misc_RNA from 1 species
GAGUGACUUGAGAAAGAACUCAUUAAGAUGAAGAUUCUUGAUGAUGAAUGCUCCUGGAACUCCAAACUCGUCACGAUCCCAGUCAAAUGUAACACUAAAAGUUGAUUCCCCUGCUGUUAUUGGGGUGAUGUCUGUAAGCCAACUCUCUAAGUAUGCUGGAUUGCUCAGUUUCCCUUCCAAACCAUCUGCAUAAUUAACAGAACCACUUAUCAAUUGGAUAGAGACUUUUUGGCCAAGUAAAUCAGAAAUGCCAUCAACAACUGAAGCACCUAUAUUAAUGAAGUCUAGAACAUUUUUUUUCAUCAAAAUCACUCUUCCUUUCACUUUUGGCCUAUCAUCUUUUCCAAGGAUGGCAUCCACAAUUCCACCCAAAGACAUGAUUAACUAUUUAAACAGAAAUAUUUUUUUUUUAAUUAAGAAAAGAAAAGAUAGAUUUUAGUCGUGGCCUAUCAU